rnacentral:rRNA from 1 species
GAGUUUGAUCCUGGCUCAGAACGAACGCUGGCGGCAGGCCUAACACAUGCAAGUCGAGCGCACCUUCGGGUAAGCGGCGGACGGGUGAGUAACGCGUGGGAAUAUGCCCUUUAGUGCGGAAUAGCCUUUGGAAACGGAGAGUAAUACCGCAUACGCCCUUCGGGGGAAAGAUUUAUCGCUAAAGGAUUAGCCCGCGUUGGAUUAGGUAGUUGGUGGGGUAAAAGCCUACCAAGCCGACGAUCCAUAGCUGGUUUGAGAGGAUGAUCAGCCACACUGGGACUGAGACACGGCCCAGACUCCUACGGGAGGCAGCAGUGGGGAAUCUUAGACAAUGGGGGAAACCCUGAUCUAGCCAUGCCGCGUGAGUGAAGAAGGCCCUAGGGUCGUAAAGCUCUUUCGCCAGGGAAGAUAAUGACGGUACCUGGUAAAGAAGUCCCGGCUGACUCCGUGCCAGCAGCCGCGGUAAUACGGAGGGGACUAGCGUUGUUCGGAAUUACUGGGCGUAAAGCGCGCGUAGCGGACUAUUAAGUCAUGGGUGAAAUCCCGG